CAAUAGCGUAUAUUAAAGUUGUUGCAGUUAAAAAGCUCGUAGUUGAAUUUCUGGCGGGCGCGCCGGUCUUCCAAGUGUUGUACUGGGCGCAGUCCGCCAUCCUUGUGGAGAGGGCUCGCAUUGAGUUGCGUGUCGGAUCUGCAUCAUUUACUGUGAAAAAAUUAGAGUGUUUAAAGCAGGCUGUCGCUUGAAUACAUUAGCAUGGAAUAAUAAGAUAGGACUUCGGCCUAUUUUGUUGGUUGCGAACCGAGGUAAUGAUUAAUAGGGAUAGUUGGGGGUAUUCAUAUUUAAUUGUCAGAGGUGAAAUUCUUGGAUUUAUGAAAGAUGAACAACUGCGAAAGCAUUUACCAAGGAUGUUUUCAUUAA
rnacentral:rRNA from 1 species